UCCAGUACCAGAGAGAGACAAGGACAGUAAAACCGGUAGUGCAGAGAAACACAGAUCAGAAAGGAACAGAGAUAAAGACCGGGACAAAGACCCAGAGACCGCAACUGGCACACUAUUACUAGAGACUGGGACAUAGAGAGAUCGAUGAGGGUUAGGCAUGGGGAUGAGUCUAUAGACGGCCCAUUGAGCUCCUAGCUCAUACGCCUGGCCUCGUAUACCAAAGGCUGUUUGCUCAUGCCUACCUCAUGGUCAUCUAGGAUGGCAACCAUACUCCCGCCACCGACAGUAACGCUCCGUAGAUGGCAUAACCACAGCAGCCCGCUACACCAUUGCCCUUCCCUCCAGGGAGGGGUUAUCCCCCUGGUACCAGGCCCCCGAUAUCAUGCUUUCCUGUAAUUAUGGUCCCCUGGUACCAGCUGUUCUGGAAUCAUGCCCGCUGGGUGCCAUGCUGCCUGGUAUCAAGCCCCUCCUACCACCCCCCCUCCAGCUCACAUCUACCCAGCCUGGCUAGCACCUCCAGCUCUCAUCACCCAGCCUGCUGAGCACCUCCAGCUCACAAUCUGCCCAGCCGCUAGCAACCUCCCACUCACAUUCUACCCAGCCUGCUAGCAACCUCCAGCUUCACAUCUGCACCAGCCUGCUAUGGAGAACCAGAGAGGCGCAGUCACCAGAGGGAGCAUGGAGAACCAGAGAGGCGCAGUCACCAGAGGGAGCAUGGAGAACCAGAGAGGCACAGUCACCAGAGGGAGUACGGAGAACUGAGCUCAGGACAAUGGAAGGAUAGCCUUAAGAGAGACAACGGCCAGGCUAUGGCCAGAGAGCUCUACAGUGAAUACUCCAGCAUGAGGAGGAUUAGAGAAGGUUGGGGGGACUAUGGUGCUUCCUCUGAUAUGAGCUACAUAAUGGACCCAUCGUCCAGAGACUGGAGUGAAGGCUCAUUGAGGGGUAGUGGUGCUCCCUUCUCCCCAGACACAGAUGGGGAUGUUGAUGGAGAUCCUGUGGAGCUCAGUGUGGAGGACCUGGAGCUCAUAGAGGAGAAGAGAGCUGUUCUCGCUUUGCAAAAGGUUAAACGCGGAGCUAAGGACAUGCCUAAAACACAGACUGCAUACACAACAGCGAAGGGCAUGUCUAAACCGAGGAAGGCGAACAAUAGAACAUUCAACAGUAAUGUCGCGGACCAGUCGUCACGCAUAUGCCUACCUCUUAAACGGAGGGUGCUGGACAUUCUGAGUAAGGUGGUCCCGAAUGAUAAACGGCAAAUUCAGAGGCCAGUUCAUUCACUCAGGACACAGGAGAAAGACAUAGCAGCCACAGGCUUCCAGCGCUUCCUCAAUGUCCUCAAUGAAGGGGUGGACCUCAACAAGCUCUCAAAGAUCGUCAACAACAAAAAUGGGUUACUCAUUGUGGGCGAGGAGCUACCACAAGUUUGGCCGACUCUGCCCGAGGGUCAUGUUGACUCCAGCAGUAGAUCCAAGUCUU
rnacentral:lncRNA from 1 species